UACUAAUGAUUGUUCUUUUUUUUUAACUUGAUUGACAUAUAUUUCGUGAUUUUUGUUAGUGCUCAUACGAUGCUUUGCAUAAAAGUAUUAUUCGGGAUAAUUAUAGAAUAGCUAUGAUAGAGGACGUCCUCCAGAUCAAGAAAAAAUAUGGGUUGAGUUUAGUAUCGCACCGGUUAAUUUUGGCUCACUGAAAAUUUUAAACACGCAUGUAUGCUUAAAUUAUCGAACUUUAUUUUAAAACAUAUUUUAUAAAAAUCGGUUCACAAAUUUUCCACAAAUUCACUUUAAAAAAUGCUAUUUUUUUUUUUUUUUUGCAAUUUUCUAAAUAUAUGCUGGCGUAUUUUCAUAAAUAAAUAGACCCAAUUAGCAAUAAAUGUAUGAAGUGAACGCGAAAAGGUGUACAAUGCUGCGGAUGGCGUAGCCGGUGUUGGACCGGCCGGGAUUAUUUUUUUAAAGCGCGGACGAAGGCCGCCAACGCAGAAAGGAGUACUACACGAAAGUACUUCGGUCACCCCGGAUCCCUUUGUAUCAUUAAUAGAUGCAAUUAAAUAUGUAUAUACAUUGCACUGAAACAUUUUGGUUUUCUUUAUUUUGAUUUCGUGUCCAUACAAAAAUGUUGGCUGGGUUGCAUUGGUUUCAGUUUGUAUGGAAAAAUAAGCAAAAACACUGAUUUUUGGUCAUUUUCAAAGGGCUCCCUACAGGUCUAUAUGGACUCUUGAUAUGGAUAGAAAAAAAAACCACAAAAUUUAUUAAUUUUAAAACAAACGCGUCGUAAAAAUGAGCGCUCAGCACACCUAUUGUAUUGUAUUCUAUUUGUGUGCUUAGACACUCCCAAUUAAUAAUACCAUACCGCGAAAGUAUAUUUUUAUUUGAUAAUUUUAUAUUUUUUUGGAAAAUAUGUGUUCCCUUUCUACAAGGAGCGUUCCCAAGUAAACAGGAAUUGGAAAACAAAAAUCAACAAAUGUUUUUUCGACAAAAUCAUUAUAUUUUAUUCAAAAUAGUCUUCUGCUUCAAUAUAGCUUUUUCACGGUCCAAAAGCAUGUCGAACAAGUGUUUUAGCUCGUUGGCCGGUAUGCCGGUGCAAUACUUUUGAAUGGCCGUCUGCAUAACGCUUUGCUUUCAUGGACAAAUGCAUUUUCAAGCGUUCUUCGAAUGUUGGAUUCUGAGCAAUGUUUGGUCGUCAGUCAAUUUGUGCGGAACAAACCGUGCACACACUUUUCGUUAGCCCAAAUGUUCGGUCAAAAUUAGAUAAAUCGACGUUUUGGAGAUUUUCAAUUCCAUUUUCAUAAAUUUCAAUGAUGAUUUCGGCUGAUUUUUGAUGAAUUCACGCACAGUUUCGAUGGAAUUUUCGGUGUUCUCGGAUUUUGAUUGGCCUAGAUAUUGAUCGUCAUUUAUGUCAUCAUGACAACUUUGGAAACGUUGAAAUCACUCGUGCACUCUGAUACGAGAUAGGCAAUCAUCGCCAAAAACUUGUUUCAUCAAUUGAAACGUUUCGGUAAAAGUUUUACCAAUAUGUAAUGUUGGCUUUUUGUUCGAAGGUCAUUUUCGCACCGAUAACACAAAAAUACUGGCACUUAAAACGCAAUAACUUCGCUUCCAAUCAAUGAAAUGUCAUGAAAUUCUCACUGGAUAAUCGAUAAAGAUAGCAGAUUCUAACGCACCAAAUGGCCACCAGAGGGAGCUAGAUUCAGAAAGUCCUUUGGAACGCUUCUUGUAUAGUGCGUAUUAAUAUUUUAAUAAAUAAACAGCGGCAACUUAGAUCUUUAAAAUUAAUAAAAACAAUUCUAGAAAAAAAAAAAAACUCAAUUCGAUUUUGGAAAAAUAACCAAACUGAAAAAUGUUACAAAUUAUAUAUUUAUAUAAACAUUUUCAUUAAAUGGAACUGCAAUAUCUUUAAAGAAAAUAUUUAUUAUGGUGACAAGUAUCUUUUCUUUUUUAUAUAUGUAGAUACAUAUAUAAAGCUUCCUUGCAUAUGUACGUAUAAAAGCCCACAACUUGAGAAAAAUUUUCCUAAUUGUAACUAAACUGAAUUUUUACAACUGUCAUCACCACCAUUAGCUGUUUCACACAUAUACAGUGGUGUGAACAAAAUAGGAACAACCAUAAGGUAUUGCGAAUAUUUAAAAUGUGUUGUGUUCUUGUUAAAUAAAUCUGUUUUUAAUACGCUUUUAUUAGCUUCACUUGUAUGUAUGUAUGUAUGGAUGUAUGUAUGUAACUUUUUUAAGUGGUACUGAAACGUAGAAUAUUUGAGCGACACUGUAGGAAGCCGAUAGUAAGUUUAAGCAGCUCACCAAAAAGAUGCGCUUAAAAGUAUGCAACAUCUAUAUAAAACUAGUUUAGCAUACUGAUUUGGGCGUCGACCGUUAAUAAGAUGCAAGGUUGUACAGUAGAACAAGUAGUAAUUUAUCUGGGCUCUCGGGUUUGCUGUUGGAUAAGCUUAUGUAGCACUUAGUCGUUGUAGAUCUUUGGACUGUAUUCGAAUUGAAGAACUUGACUGUUCAAAGUUGACAGGUAACAGUGAAGCUUUAGAAGAAAUGAUUCGAUUAAGGAGUAAUAAUUCGUAAAGUCGUCAAUAGAACUUAGUCGCAAACAAUGUAACAAUUAGUCAAUGAAAGGUUACGAGUAGAUAUUAAAUGCUGCCUAAGUAUCGAUUUACUUAACCAAUACUACAUGUCAUAGUUCAUAUGUUAACAAAUUUUGGGGUUACUCACAUCAAACUAAAAAAUUAAAAAUAAACAUAGUUUAAAAAAACUAAAAACACGCUUUUAAAGCAUAUCAAACUAAAAAGUGAAAAAUAAUUCUUUGUAUAAACUGACAAUAAUAAUGAAUUAAAAAUUCCUACAUUACUGUGAGAAAAGCGUGGGGUGCUUUGUGACAUUUUUUUCAUAUGUAAAUAUUUUUUUAGACAUAGCCUCAUCACCAAAGGCUUUCUGCACUAUCCUCAACGUAUCCGCAGCAGAAAAUUGAUUCCGUAAACAAAAUUUAAUGCAAAUUGUUUGCUCAACAAAUUUCGACAUCGCAAAAAACGAAAAACUCACUUUUAGCAGCUCACAAAACGACACGUAUCUCAAACACUAAUGAAUAUUUUGACAUGAAAUUUGACAUAAAAGUUUUUUAGCACUUUAGAGAAAUCUUGGUAUAUUUUAAGGUGUAAAACGUCAAAACGUUUGUUUUGCAGCUAUAUGUUAUAGUGGUCCGAUAUCCGCAGUUCCGACAAAUGAGCAGCUUCUUGAAGAGAAAAUGGCGUUUGCGAAAUUUCAAAACGAUAUCUUUAAAACUGAGAGACUAGUUCGUAUAUAUACAGACGGACAUGGCUAAAUCGACCCUGCUCAACAUACUGAUAAUUUAUAAAUAUGUAUAUUCCUUCUGGGUGUUAUAAACUUCGUGGCGAACUUAAUAUACCCUGUUCAGGGUAUAAAAACGAAAAUCCUUAUAUGUUGUAAAGGGUGAUUUUUUAAGAGCUUGAUAACUUUUUUUUAAAAAAAAACGCAUAAAAUUUGCAAAAUCUCAUCGGUUCUUUAUUUGAAACGUUAGAUUGGUUCAUGACAUUUACUUUUUGAAGAUAAUUUCAUUUAAAUGUUGACCGCGGCUGCGUCUUAGGUGGUCCAUUCGGAAAGUCCAAUUUUGGGCAACUUUUUCGAGCAUUUCGGCCGGAAUAGCCCGAAUUUCUUCGGAAAUGUUGUCUUCCAAAGCUGGAAUAGUUGCUGGCUUAUUUCUGUAGACUUUAGACUUGACGUAGCCCCACAAAAAAUAGUUUAAAGGCGUUAAAUCGCAUGAUCUUGGUGGCCAACUUACGGGUCCAUUUCUUGAGAUGAAUUGUUGUCCGAAGUUUUCCCUCAAAAUGGCCAUAGAAUCGCGAGCUGUGUGGCAUGUAGCGCCAUCUUGUUGAAACCACAUGUCAACCAAGUUCAGUUCUUCCAUUUUUGGCAACAAAAAGUUUGUUAGCAUCGAACGAUAGCGAUCGCCAUUCACCGUAACGUUGCGUCCAACAGCAUCUUUGAAAAAAUACGGUCCAAUGAUUCCACCAGCGUACAAACCACACCAAACAGUGCAUUUUUCGGGAUGCAUGGGCAGUUCUUGAACGGCUUCUGGUUGCUCUUCACCCCAAAUGCGGCAAUUUUGCUUAUUUACGUAGCCAUUCAACCAGAAAUGAGCCUCAUCGCUGAACAAAAUUUGUCCGAAAAAAAAAAAACCGAACACUGAUUUUGGUAAUAAAAUUCAAUGAUUUGCAAGCGUUGCUCGUUAGUAAGUCUAUUCAUGAUGAAAUGUCAAAGCAUACUGAGCAUCUUUCUCUUUGACACCAUGUCUGAAAUCCCACGUGAUCUGUCAAAUACUAAUGCAUGAAAAUCCUAACCUCAAAAAAAUCACCCGUUAUAUGUGAGUCGGUAUAAUUCGUUGACCACUUUUCGGCAUAAAGGGCGUUUUAACUUAGAUAGCCCGAAAACAUCCUAUUUUUCUAGAUUUUUUUCUCUAGGAAAUCAUAAUAUAUAAAAGGCUGAAAUUUUCACACAUUUAACUGAAGAAGUAUUUUGAAGAAAUACACAUGUUUUAGGGACCCAGUAAGGGGGAAGAGGGGGUUACCGAAUAAUGGCGGAAAAUCGGCGGCGAUUCGUCUUCAUAGUGGAAGUCUUAGCAUUCCACCCGUGGCACUAGAACCAAAGAGAAAACUUAACAAGUGCAAUAAUUAUAAGCUUUUAUUGAUUUUUCUCUUGAUCGUAAGUAAAAUAAUAUUUUUUUUGUGGAAUUAUACUAUUAAUCUUAAAAGCUUUAUUUUAACACUUAAGUCAAUUUUGAUGUACACUUGCGUAGAAAACAAUAAUCUCAGCUUGAUGAAAUUUUGAGUCACUAUUAGGCCUUAAAUUGCGCGUUGGGUUUGGGACCCGCCGCGUAAAGCCAACACUACCAAAGAAAAGAAAAAAAGACGCUUUGGAUCCCUAAUCGAUAACAAUGGAGCAGACGCUCCAUUGCCCGACCAUGAAGAAGUUCGAAUAGUAAUCCCGUCUGAAGAACAACAAAACGAACUGAUAAGGAGCAUUCAUCAGCUUCUUUGUUGAAUAUGGUCGGACGAAAGCAUGCCCAACGAUUGGAAUGUAAGGGUGCUCUGCCUAAUCCACAAGAAAGGAGACAAUCUGCGCCAACUACCUAAACACCGCAUGUAAGGUUCUAUCGAGCGUAUUGUAUGAAAGGUUAAAGGUUUAGGCCUGGCAAAUCAACAACAGACCAGAUAUUUACCAUGCGGCAAAUCUUGGAAAAGGUCUGUGAAGAGGAGAUCGCCAGCCACCACCACCUCGUAGAUUUUAAAGCUGCUUUUGACAGCACCAAAGGGAGCCGCCUCUAUGCCGCUAUGUCUGAAUUUGGUAUCCCCGCAAAACUAAUACGGCUGUGUGAACUGACUUUAACCCAUCUUCGGCCGCUACAUGAAAUCACAGUAAGUUUUUUAUUUCCUUUCGAAGGGGUGGUUUUAUGAUCAUAAUCAAGAAUGAUAAAAAAAAAAUUUUUUUUGACCAACCGUUUUCUUGAUAUGAACUGGUCGAAAAAUCGACCGCUGGCCAAAAACCGUCAAGUAUGAAUGUUUAAAUGAGUUAAGCAUCCACCCCUCUACCCGGUAAAACUGGCGCAUCCUAAUGCGCCUGUGCAAUUCACCACAGAUGAUGAUUACAACACAACUAAACACAUUUGUCAACAAAAAGGAUGGGCAACGGGAAGGCAGGCGCAAUUCGUUAAAAACAAUUCGAACAAAACAUUCGGCCACACACUGCGCCGCGAAAGCACUCUCUUCGUUACACACCCCCGUGCUGAGACUUUCGAUUCGUCUGCAGACCUAAGCGCAUAAGUUAUCCCCUUUUUGCGAGGUAGAGCUCAAACGCUUCUCCGUAACUUUGGAUACGCCGUGAUCCUGAACUACAUAUUUCGACAUCGCUUCGUACUACAUCGAUCCCGCAUUUGUUUCACUAUUAGUAUAAGUUUCCAUUUAUUGUAACCGGAGUUUAUAUUAAAAAUAAAUUAACACUUAUUUCCUAUCCACUAAAAAAUGUCUUUUAAUUAGAAAUAUUAAUCGCGAGUGUUAGUGACUCCUACAACUUAAAUACAGUGGUGUGAUUCUCACUUAGCUGGGCACCCAUUUAUUCAUGGUCCUUCGAGCCAUAGUGACAGGCACUAUGGAUUGUUUAAACAAGAUAAAAUAAAUCAAAAUUAAGCGGUGAAGAGCAGUGGCAAACAAUUAAAACAAAAAAAAAAAACAGUGUGCAGUGGGAAAACAAAAACAAAAAAAAAACAGUGCAAUGACCCAGCCAAAAAACAAAAAAUUAUAAAUAAACAACAUACCCUUGUACUUAUAUACAUACAUAAUAAACAAAAAAGGAAUCAACGGAAGGUGCAUUUCAAAGACUAAGCUACUCAGCAGUUAACAAAACAAAAAAAAAACAAAAAAAAACACGGUGAAGUGACUAAAAAAUUAAAAAUAAAUGUUCACACAUAAGACACAAAACAAAAAUCAAGAGUGGUGACUCGGCGAAAAUAUAUGCAUACAUGAAGUUACGAAAACUGCGGUAAUAAAACAUAAACUUACAGAAACAAAAUAUACAAAAAUUUUACAAACACAAAAAACAUACAUUGGGCGCGAAAAGUUAAAGCACCUAAACAAUAACACAAACAAAACAAGGAACAAACGCGCGCGAUCAGUAAAACAAAACCACACAUAUGUAAAUAGCAAAAAGUAAUGUAAAAGAAACAGAAAAAAACACACAGAAAAUCGCGCGCGAAACGUUAAAACAAGACAUAAAUAAAAACAAAAAAACGGGUGCGAAUUUAAAUUAAACUAGAAUAAACAAAAAAGCAGCAACAACAUACAUACAUACUGAACAACCAACUGGAAGCGGAGGAGAAGGGGUUAGCAUCAACGGCCCGAAUACCUGCAGACACAUAUAUACAACCGCAUUAUCCCCAAAAACCCUUGUUGGAAAACAAAGUGAGCGUAUUUAUUUCAUUUCAUUGAAUCUAUUUUAAAGCACAUAUAUAUGGAUGUAUAUACGAUUUAUAUGCUCUUAUAAAAUCCGUUUUAACAGCGGAAAAACGGUUACCAAACUGCUCUUUUGAGUUUACUUUGCGGGAAAAACCGACCACAGUUUGGUAUAACGUAUAUAUCAAUAUAUACAUGUACAUAUGCUAAACAAAUAAUAUUAAUUUAUUGCCCAUGUAAUAAUUUACCUUCGCGUAUUCAGACACAUUUACUAACAAAAAAAAAAAAAAAAAAACAAAACACAAAAA